GGCCUACCAUGGUUUCAACGGGUAACGGGGAAUAAGGGUUCGAUUCCGGAGAGGGAGCCUGAGAAACGGCUACCACAUCCAAGGAAGGCAGCAGGCGCGCAAAUUACCCAAUCCCGAUACGGGGAGGUAGUGACAAUAAAUAACAAUACAGGGCUUUUCAGUCUUGUAAUUGGAAUGAGUACAAUUUAAAUCUCUUAACGAGGAACAAUUGGAGGGCAAGUCUGGUGCCAGCAGCCGCGGUAAUUCCAGCUCCAAUAGCGUAUAUUAAAGUUGUUGCAGUUAAAAAGCUCGUAGUUGAAUUUCGGGAUCAAUUUGCUGGUCGUGCCUUCGGUACGCACUGGUAUUAUUGGUUUCUCCUUUCUGAUGAAUCGCGAUGUCAUUAAUUUGGUGUCGUGGGGAAUCAGGACUGUUACUUUGAAAAAAUUAGAGUGUUUAAAGCAGGCUCACGCUUGAAUACAUUAGCAUGGAAUAAUGAAAUAUGACGUUUGAUUCUAUUUUGUUGGUUUCUAGGAUCGACGUAAUGAUUAAUAGGGAUAGUUGGGGGCAUUAGUAUUCAAUUGUCAGAGGUGAAAUUCUUGGAUUUAUUGAAGACUAACUACUGCGAAAGCAUUUGCCAAGGAUGUUUUCAUUAAUCAAGAACGAAAGUUAGGGGAUCGAAGACGAUCAGAUACCGUCGUAGUCUUAACCAUAAACUAUGCCGACUAGGGAUCGGAUGAUGUUAAUUUUUUAAUGACUCAUUCGGCGCCUUACG
rnacentral:rRNA from 1 species